GACGAACGCUGGCGGCGUGCUUAACACAUGCCAGUCGAACGGAAAGGCCCUGCUUUUGUGGGGUGCUCGAGUGGCGAACGGGUGAGUAACACGUGAGUAACCUGCCCUUGACUUUGGGAUAACUUCAGGAAACUGGGGCUAAUACCGGAUAGGAGCUCCUGCUGCAUGGUGGGGGUUGGAAAGUUUCGGCGGUUGGGGAUGGACUCGCGGCCUAUCAGCCUGUUGGUGGGGUAGUGGCUUACCAAGGCUUUGACGGGUAGCCGGCCUGAGAGGGUGACCGGCCACAUUGGGACUGAGAUACGGCCCAGACUCCUACGGGAGGCAGCAGUGGGGAAUAUUGCACAAUGGGCGGAAGCCUGAUGCAGCAACGCCGCGUGCGGGAUGACGGCCUUCGGGUUGUAAACCGCUUUCGCCUGUGACGAAGCGUGAGUGACGGUAAUGGGUAAAGAAGCACCGGCUAACUACGUG
rnacentral:rRNA from 1 species